AGGAGGAGGAGGAGCCUGGAGCUGCCUUUAUCUUUGUAAGAGCCUAGCAGAUUGGAAUAUUUGUUAUGUUAAGGCCAUGCAGGCUUAACGAAGCGUCAAGUUCUUUGCUGGAAUUUUAACCAGAACCAGCCCUGUUAACAAUCCUGCCCAGCGGCUGGGAGCCUGACUGUGUGGAAGAAAGAGCACUGGGCCAAGAGUUCAAAGUCCAGGACUCAGCGCUGGCCUGUCUCUUCCUUCCUGGCCCCCUCUGGGGGCUGCAAAGCCAGCCCCACUCAGAGUAAAGGUCUCUGCGACUAUCCAGGCUGGAGCCUCACUUCUGUUCGCCCUAAAUUGCUUUUAUCAACUUGAGGAUGGGACAGCUCAGGCUUGCCUCUGUGGGCCACCUCCCUCUGCUGUCCCAGCGUGAUCAUGGGCACCUUUCCCCAGGUCCUCUAGUCUUGCUUAGGCAGCCAGCUGCCACCUGUGUGAGGGGUGGCUGGGCGUGCUGCCCGGAGCUGAGGAGAACCUGUCCCUGAGGAAAUGGCCCAGGCCUUCUUGUUCAGCCAGAAAUUCCAGCCUUUGAAGGAUCCGGGCGGAGAGGGGCCUUUUCUAGGCUGCUUUUCUAGAGCUGUUUUUCCAGCCUGGCAUUAGCACCCAGCCUUAAAGAAAACUUCCCUGGUCUUUAAUUGGGUUUUCUGGAAAGGUGUUGGCCUUCGCCACCUUGUAGGGAGGUUCUGUCCCCCACACCCUCCCCCCCACAAAGUUUUUGGGAAGGAAGGAUCUCUGGUUGGCUGGGAACUUGCAAUGUAGUCCCAGAUGGCCUUGAACUUCUGACUAUCCUCCUGACUCAGCCUUCCAAGGGCUGGGAUUGCAGAUAUGUGCUACCACCACCUGUUUAGGAAUACUUCUUAAAAUCAGCUUUAUUGAGGUCUACUUGCACAUAUGUAUCCAUUUGAGGCACGCUGACCAAUGAUGGAUACAUGUGUCUGUGUAGGUGCCAUGUGGAUCAAGUCAUAGAGCAUUUUUGACAUCUUACAAGUUUCCCUCAUGGCUACUGCUCGAUCACUAGGAUCCCCACUCCAGGCAACCAGGUUCACUACAGACCUGCUCAAAUGUCUCAUGUUCCUCACGGUGCACCUGCGAGUCAUCCACAACAUUGCAUGGAAAGAAAGAAAGCAACAAGAAGACUCCAUAAAAAUGGAAGUCAAAACACACGGGUCAAAGACCGAUAGGAUAAAAAGAAGAACCAAAAGUCUGCAGAAGCACCACAGAGUUCAUUUUGUGUUGGCUAACUAUACUCGGGCAUGGGGCUUGCUCCCUAGAGUUUGAUUGAUACACCCAGUGACCCUCCGCUAGGGAAAAGAAGGCAUCAAUGGCAGCCUCCUGACUGCUGGGGUAUUUGUUUCAUUUCCUAAGAAACUGUGCAACUGUUUCCAGAAGUGACUGUACCACCUACAAGUGGGAAGGGACCAUGACUGUAACAUCCCUGCCCAGAUCCUGACCUUUUCUCUGCCUGAGACCAAGCAGGGAGUUUUGCUCCGAAGAACUUGGAUUGCAGAGAACAAUCAUGUUUUAAACUGACGGUGUUAUCCAGGUGGAUCUUUGUGAAUUCCAAACCAGCCAGGGCUAUGUAGUGAGGCUAUGUCUGGAAACAAAGAAACAAGCAAGCUAAACCCCUUUAUUAUUAGCUGGCUCAUUAGCUAACCCUUCCCUCAAAUUGGCUUAAUGUAAACCUAAGUCGUUCCAACCACUGUGGUGAUUUUCAUUAAAGUUCGUAGAUGAGCUGGGUGUGGUAGUAACACUUGUAAUCUCGACACUGGGGGACCAAUGUCCAAAUCAUCCCCUACAUAGAAUUUGAGGCAGCCUGUGCUACAUGAAACCCUGUUUCUGAACAAACAAACAAAUAAAUAAAUACAUAAAUG
rnacentral:sRNA from 1 species